AUACGGAGGGUGCAAGCGUUACUCGGAAUCACUGGGCGUAAAGCGCGCGCAGGCGGGCUGAUAAGUUGGAUGUGAAAGCCUACGGCUCAACCGUAGAACUGCAUCCAAAACUGUCAGUCUAGAGUGUGGGAGAGGAAGAUGGAAUUAGUUGUGUAGGGGUAAAAUCCGUAGAGAUGACUAGGAAUACCAAAAGCGAAGGCAAUCUUCUGGAACACUACUGACGCUGAGGCGCGAAGGCGUGGGGAGCAAACAGGAUUAGAAACCCCAGUAGUCC
rnacentral:rRNA from 1 species